rnacentral:lncRNA from 1 species
GGCUCUCGGCGAGGCAAGACACUGCCAGCCAGCCAACUGGUGGUAUCUCGGUGCUGUGAGAGGCAGACAGUGCUGGUUUCCUUGCUCCAGCUGAGCUGAGAACUCAGCAGAGUCGCUGCUUCUCGCUGUGGCAGGAUCAUGCUCUUGUGGGAGACACUGCUGGCUUCUCCCUGCUGCUGUGGUCCCAGGUCAGAGCUGAGAGGAUCCCUUUGUCUUGCUGUGGUGGGCUCUUGUUCACGUGAGGAGCAGCUGCUCUUAGCUCCCAGCUCCUAUGAAGCUCAAUGGAAGCGUGCGUCCUCGCUGUGGGUCCUUCAGACCAGAUGUAGCUGUCGGCUGGUGUCAUUUCACGAUUUACUACAAACUUGACAGGUAUUUAACUUUCGUUACUUUGUGCAUGUCUUUUCUCUUUAUACAUUUUACCAUGAAACUGCAGCUCCAUUGUUUUUCCCACUAGCAGGCAGACACCACAAUCCAGGACACAGACUGCUGUUAAGACAAAUGUGGGGAAAAAUGGUAAUUCCUCCUGCUACGACUCCCUGCAUGCAUGACAGGAACUGCAACCAAAGAAAUGAGCCCUCUUUGCCUCAAAUUUGCCUUCUCAUUUCCAUAUAUUUCCUCUCAGUUCUGACAUCUUUCCCCAUCUUCCAUCUUUGCUUCUGGAGAUUACAAGAGCUCUGAGGAUUAGCACUGUUUCACAGCUCUAUAGGUAUUGACAGCUGUUUUCUCUUAUUGAAUGCAAUGGAUAUGUGCAUCUAAAAUCUUACAUUUACACUAAAGCUUCUUAUUCAUUCAGUGGCCAGGUAAACCCACUGAGGACAACCAGAAAAGUGGAAGCUUGAUGUCCUCAAGCCUCCUGAGAUGUUUCUGGAGCUUGGAAAGCAUGCUCACUGGUAUUUAUAGGAUGUCAUCAAUAUCUAGGGGUGAACUACAAAAAUAGACCAGGGAGAAAUAAGAGGGAAGAAAGCACUUUGUGCAAAUGCAGUCAGAAAGUCUAAAGCACUAAUUGCUCGAGCUGGCUGGGUCCAACCACAGUGGAGGUUUCCUGCCUGCUUCUCAAUGGAAACAGCAUUGAUUCAUUGGGCAUAGAGAAGCCCCAUGCCUGAUGAGCAGGUAAAAAAUUGUUGCUAGCCCUAGAAAAUCACUUCUGGGUAGACACGCUGAGUGUGCAAUAAACUACAUGAUGUGGUGCCA